AGCAGCCGCGGUAAUUCCAGCUCCAAUAGCGUAUAUUAAAGUUGUUGCAGUUAAAAAGCUCGUAGUUGAAUUUCGGGAUCAAUAUGCUGGUCGUGCCAUUGGUACGUACUAGUAUUAUUGGUUUCUCCUUUCUGAUGAAUCAUGAUGUCAUUAAUUUGAUGUCAUGAGGAAUCAGGACUGUUACUUUGAAAAAAUUAGAGUGUUUAAAGCAGGCUCGCGCUUGAAUACAUUAGCAUGGAAUAAUGAAAUAGGACGUUUGAUUCUAUUUUGUUGGUUUCUAGGAUCGACGUAAUGAUUAAUAGGGAUAGUUGGGGGCAUUAGUAUUCAAUUGUCAGAGGUGAAAUUCUUGGAUUUAUUGAAGACUAACUACUGCGAAAGCAUUUUGCCAAGGAUGUUUUCAUUAAUCAAGAACGAAAGUUAGGGGAUCGAAGACGAUCAGAUACCGUCGUAGUCUUAACCAUAAACUAUGCCGACUAGGGAUCGGAUGAUGUUAAUUUUUUAAUGACUCAUUCGGCGCCUU
rnacentral:misc_RNA from 1 species